UAUCAGUCAGCAGAGCUCCGGAGUGGCUUGAGAGCCUCACCAAACUUGGACCCGACAUUACGCAGACUCUCGGCGGCCUCUCCCGCUGUCCUCGGUAAUUCCAGCUCAAAUAGCGUACUGUAUCUUAAAGUUGCUGCAGUUAAAAAGCUCUGAGUUGGAUCUCGGGAUCGACCUGACACUCCGCCGCGAGGCGAGCCACCGCCUCCAGCACCAGCCUCUCGGCCGCCCUGGGUAGAAGGCAUGUAGAUAUAUCCCCAUCAACGUACAAAAGAGGAAAUAAUGAUUGACCCGCCAUGAUAUUUACAUCAUCAGCCUUCGCGCUGUGACCUGGGAAUUAAAUGCCUGCUUCCACACAUGCCACGUCCCGGAUUUUCCAGGUUUUUUUUUUUUUCCUGUGACGCCAACAGUAGCUACACCAGUUUCACCAAUGAGACGUCGCAACAAUAAUCACGAGACAUCAUUAUACCAAUCAGACUCAAGCAUGCCGAUCUAUGAUCACGCUGGGCUGUUCAAUCACGUGGCGUCCUUCAAGCGCCAUAAAAAAUUAAGUGUGUGACAUAGAGCACUGCCAUCAACAUGACUCGAGUCAAAAGCAAAAAACGUUUCCCAGUUGUUAUUUGACACCAACUGACCACGGAAAACCGGAGAUAUGAUCCUUUUAAUUUCAUUAUGGGAACGAUGAAGGAGCUAUCCACUAUUCAACUUUUCAAACUAGGAACUAUUUUCCACUAGAGGGCACUGAUACUUUUUGAAAAAAUGAGGCUUUUACUCACAGACACUAACAUUAAUAACUCAGAAAAACUGGAGGGUAUUUUUCUUGUUUCAAGUGAAUGCAAUAUGCGUCCGUAGUAAAGCUGGAACGAAAAAAUAAGGAAAGGAGUGAAAGCAAAGGAAGAAACCUACAACAUAUUCAUGGAGGCGUCUGUAAAACAUCUGAGAAAAAUUUACAAAAGAAUAUUUACCCAUUUUACACAGUGA